ensembl:misc_RNA Metazoa_SRP Metazoan signal recognition particle RNA
GCCGGGUGUGGUGGUGCACGCCUGUAAUCCCAGCUACUUGGGAGGCUGAGGCAAGAGAAUCACUUGAACCCAGGAGGUGGAGGUUGCUGUGAGCCAAGAUCGUGCCAUUGCACUCUAGCCUGGGUGACAGAGUGAGACUCUGUCUCAA